rnacentral:misc_RNA from 1 species
UACGGAGGGUGCGAGCGUUAUCCGGAGUUACUGGGCGUAAAGGGCGCGUAGGCGGUUUAUCGAGUCUGAUGUCAAAGCGUGGGGCUCAACCCCAUAAGGGCGUUGGAUACUGAUAAGCUUGACUCCUGGAGGGGCAAGUGGAAUUACCAGUGUAGCGGUGGAAUGCGUAGAUACUGGUAGGAACACCCAUAGCGAAGGCAGCUUGCUGGACAGGGAGUGACGCUGAGGCGCGAAAGUGUGGGGAGCGAACCGG